AGGUUUUUUUUAAAUAAAAUUUUCAUAGACUUUCUAUAGAGUUUUAAUAGAAUUUUCAUAGUUUUUUAAUAGACUUUUUAUAGUCUACUAUGUUAACUUGUGAAUUUCUUUUUCCCGCACUCUCUCGAUUUCGUUUAUUGGCCUGCCCUGUUCCGGUUUUGGACCAAUUUUAAAAAAUAAAGGUGUCAAAAUACUGAAGACAAUACUUUUUAAUUAAGAUAAUUAUGUACAUUUGAUAUAAUUCACCCAUUUAUAGCCCACAAAUAAUAACUAGAGUUGCAAUCCCAUAAACUGAUUUCGAAAGAAAAAUUUUCUACAUUGUUGCAAUGUUAGAGAAGUGAAAUGAAAAUACCUAAUAAAUUGAGCUUUCUCAGUGGACCUUAAUAUCAUCCAGUUGUCACCUUUUGGAUUUUAAAGACUAAAAUUAUAAGAUAUCUUCCAGUUGUCACUUUUUUAUUUUAAAGACUAAAAUUAUAAGAUAAGGGAAGCAAAAUUACACUUUCAUUCAAAAUUGCCAUAACUUUUUGUAUGUAAAAAUGAAAUCUGAACACUGUUUUAACAUAAUAAAUAUUCAUAGAUGUAUUUCAGUCAUUACAGAUAAUUAUGGAAACUGUUAGUGAUUCAUGUUUUCGAAUUUUGAUGGAAGAAAAACGUUUGGGAAAACUGGAUGAGGUUGGUGUGGUCCAUGAAGCGGAUCUUGCACUAGUUACGGAAGGAUGACAUUCUAAAGGCCAUAGAUGUGCACAAGUGUAGUACACAUUUUAUAAAAGCAACAUGUGAACAAAACACUCCAGAAACUUUAUUCCCAUUUCAAUCCUAGGAGAUUUAUCCAGUCCAGAGCGAAACUCAAUUCAAGAAGAGUACCUUGAUCUUCUAUCACAGAAGCCAUUUUUUGCCAGCACUUCCAAAGCAAAGGAGUCACUUGGACACAGAAGCAUUUCAGUCUAUGACAGUGGAAACAAUCCUGGUGAUGUCUACUGGAACAAGGUAGCUAAUCAAGUUAAAAAGUAUUUGCAGAAAGGGGAAUGACUACCUUCGUCAGAAAGAAAUAGCUGGUCCGAUAUUGUUGAUGACUACGUAUGAAGAUUUGUAUAUAAAAUUUGUUAGUAGCUCUCAAUCAACAAUUAUGAUAUUAUUGUUUUUAUGGGUGAGUCAGUACAACAUAGUGUAUUGCAGUUCUUUGUAAUAUGUAACCUAAUGUUAAGCUAACUACAAGUAUCUGUAUUCCAUGAGUCACUAGCAUUGAAAGUCCAAUUGCCCAGCUAAUUUACUAACUUAUUGAAAAUUGUUAAAAUUAUGAUUAAAAUGUAAUAAAUCUUAAUUUUAAUUACAAGGAAUUACAGACAAGGUGUUGUUUGGGUACAUUUAUCCAAAAGUGUGGUUUCCCUAACUAAUGAAUUUAUGAUUGCCUUUGCAACGUCUCUAAGAUAUGGUGAUAGCAAAUGAUAGUAAACAAGCUAAG